AUGCCAUGAAGAGAACAUCUCUUGAGCAACUCCUUAAAUCUUUCCCAAGCCUCAUACAAGCUUUCAUCUUCCAGCUGAUGAAAAAAAGUGAUCUCAUUCUGUAAUUUU
rnacentral:snoRNA from 2 species